CCUUAAAGAACCUGCCUUUGUAGUGCUCACACAGAUUGUCUGAUGAACGUAAAGAAGCAAGGCGUCUUGCGAUUGAGACUUCAGUGUCCCCUUCGUCUAGAGGCCCAGGACACCGCCCUUUCACGGCGGUAACAGGGGUUCGAAUCCCCUAGGGGACGCCACUUGCUGGUUCGUGAGUGAAAGACGCGUGCCGAUGUAUCUCAAAACUCAUCUUCGGGUGACGUUUGAGAUAUUUGCUCUUUAAAAAUCUGGAUCAAGCUGAAAAUUGAAACGACACACAGUUAAUGUGUGUUCGAGUCUCUCAAAUUUUCGCAAUCAGAAGUGAAAUAUCUUCGGGUUGUGA
rnacentral:misc_RNA from 1 species